UACGGAGGGGGCUAGCGUUGUUCGGAAUUACUGGGCGUAAAGCGCACGUAGGCGGCUUUGUAAGUUAGAGGUGAAAGCCCAGGGCUUAACCCUGGAAUUGCCUUUAAGACUGCAUCGCUAGAAUCGUGGAGAGGUAAGUGGAAUUCCGAGUGUAGAGGUGAAAUUCGUAGAUAUUCGGAAGAACACCAGUGGCGAAGGCGGCUCACUGGACCGGUACUGACG
rnacentral:rRNA from 1 species